CUGUGCUCCAGCGCCUGGGAAGGGGAGUCUCCGGAGCGAGGGGGAGAAGAUGAAGAAACUGAGGCUUAGAAGACUUAAGUGUUUGCCCAGGAUUACAUAG
rnacentral:lncRNA from 1 species